GACGAACGCUGGCGGCGUGCUUAACACAUGCAAGUCGUACGGUAAGGCCCUUUCGGGGGUACACGAGUGGCGAACGGGUGAGUAACACGUGAGUAACCUGCCCACAACUUUGGGAUAACGCUAGGAAACUGGUGCUAAUACUGGAUAUGUGCUCCUGCUGCAUGGUGGGGGUUGGAAAGCUCCGGCGGUUGUGGAUGGACUCGCGGCCUAUCCGCUUGUUGGUGGGGUAGUGGCCUACCAAGGCGGCGACGGGUAGCCGGCCUGAGAGGGUGACCGGCCACAGUGGGACUGAGAUACGGCCCAGACUCCUACGGGAGGCAGCAGUGGGGAAUAUUGCACAAUGGGCGCAAGCCUGAUGCAGCAACGCCGCGGGCGGGAUGACGGCCUUCGGGUUGGAAACCGCUUUCAGCAGGGACGAAGCUUUUUGUGACGGUACCGGCAGAAGAAGCACCGGCUAACUACGUG
rnacentral:rRNA from 1 species